rnacentral:tRNA from 1 species
GUUUUUGUGGUGUAGGGGUAGCACGGGUAAUUGUGGUUUAUCAGGGAAUAUGUGAUAUUCGAAGACU